GCCGGAUACACAAAGGAUAGGGCAUAUCCGGUCUCUCAAAAUCCGGUUCCGCAAGGAGUGUCGGUUCGAUUCCGACCACCCGCACCA
rnacentral:tRNA from 1 species